GGCAAGGUAACUCAGCAUGGUUAGAGUGUCACGCUCAUAACGUGAAAGUCGCGAGUUCAAAUCUCGCCCUUGCCA
rnacentral:tRNA from 1 species